CCUCGUUUAGCAGCUCGGACUGUAUUGAUUAUUUCAAUUGGAUAAGAUAAAUAGUUUUCGGAUAGUACUGACUAAAUUAAUUGGGCGUUUGGUGUAAUACCAGUUUAAUGACAGUAUUAUUUAUACUAUACCAAAUAUGAAUUAAAUGUAAUUAUCUAAAAACCCAAAUACUUUUCAAAUCCUAAUCUUCAAAAUAAAAAGCAAAUUAAAAAGCCCCAAAUUGAAGCAAAAUCUAAUUUAAAAAAUAAAUAAAAAAUUGUCCAUAUGAAAUUUUUCCUAAUUUCCAAGUCGAUCAUCAUUCUCAGCCAAGAUUCCAAAAUAAACCCAAAUCAGAUCAGAAGGAGCAGCAAAAAUUAUCCAAUUUGAUUCGAUGGGGAGAACCCAAUUCAAAUCGCAUAGAAAUUUAGGAACUAUAGUCCUAGGUGAACUGGAGAAACCCAAAAUGACACAAGUUAGGGGUGGGCAAACGGAUAUAAAAACUACGGGUAAGGGCGGGUCCAAAAUUUCUAAACACAAAACGGUUGGGGCGGUUCGGGUAUACAAAAUUAACGGGGCAGGGUGGUUAGCAUGGAAUAUAAUUGAAUUUUUUUCCCCAUCCUAGUCUUCUCGAUCUCUCAUCCCGAUUCCUCUCCUUUUACUCAGAGUCUCAGACCUCGAUCUCUCCUCCUAACUCGCUCCCACCGUCCCAGCUCCGUACGCCGCCACCAUUAUCAUCAGACCUCGAUCUCUCUUCCUAAUUCGCUCCUGUCUAUUUCGCCUCUGAGAUUUGAGUGCCCUGUUUCUCAAAAGCUCUAAAUUUGAAAGUAGAGGUAGGAAGCUUAAGCCUCCUAGUAUGGCUUACUCCAUUUUUACCGAUGUCAACAAAGAGACUCUGGCACCACUGUUUGAGACUCCCAAGGCUGACCCAAAAAAUGUGGCUUCUAUAAUUUUGAGUGGAGGUGUUGGAACUCGCCUCUAACCCUGGACAAUUUCUAGAUCUUCUCAACAUAAUUUGGAAAGCUCCGGCGAUGUCAAAGAUGUGGAGGAUGAGCGACAGAGUGAGUCCGGGAGGCAAUGUCUAGAACUGUGGACCUGUCUCGAAUCUGCCCAUUUGAAACGGAUCGGUUAGGUCCGGUUCCAAUGAUCAGAUUUGUCAUAUCCAGCCCGGCCUAGCCCAUUUCCUUUUUAAGUGGGUCCGGUCCAGUCCCUCCAAAUUUGGGCCCAGCCAGGUCUGUGCCCACCCCUAACACAGGUGUCAUAGAAUUACUUAGUUUAGAUACCAUAUGAUUAGGUACCAUUCUCAAGAUUCCAAAAUAAACCUAGACCAGAUCAGAAAAACCCAAUUCAAAUUCGACUGUUGUGAAUGAGAAUGAAACUCUCUUUUGUAUGGUGCUUGGCGCAAUGAGGAGAGAGCAACGACGAGAGAAGGUGACGAGGAGAAUGGUGAUGGUGAGAGAAGGCGAUAAGGAGACUGACGUCGACGAGAAGAGACGACGGGGAGAACGAUGACGGCUAUAGGAGACGACGAGGAGAAUGACAACGACGAGAGGGAUGACAGCGAGAACAACGACGGUGAGAGGGACGAUGGCGAGAAGAGGUGUCGUGGAGAAUGAAGUGUAAGAGAGAGGAAAGGGAACUAGACUAAUAAUCCACUCCUUUUGGAAGGGUUUAUUAAGAAGGUGUAUACCCUACUAAAUAAGCAAACUAAUUAAAUUAAUCCGGCAACUAUUAAACGAGGGGACACCAAACAAUCGGGUCCGUAUUAUUAGUCAUAUCCAAUCUCUUAUACAACCUACCAAACAAGGCCUUAAGGACUUCAAAUUUUGUUUAUGUCUUAUAUAAUAAAUUUUGUUAAAAUUACAAAAAAGCGGCUAGAAACCUAGGCGCUAGAUCCCUAUCCACCACUCGAUUAGUGUCCAACAUUUUUUAGAACCUUGAAUGGAACUAAAACAAAAAUUUGAGCGAAUUGCAAGGACUAGGAUCAUAUUUAAGCUAGUAAUAAUUAAUAUAUGAUACUACCUAUUUAAUAGUAUUCAUCUUUAUUUGUAAAUUAGAGAUUGUAGAUUCUAAUCUUGUAGAUGACUAGUUUGAUACUAAACUAAUUUUCUACUCUUUAGUAUAAAUAUAUCUUGUAUCAAAGAAGAAGUAUCAUGUGUGUGUGUGUGUGUGUGUGUGUAUAUAAUGAUGGAGACAAAGAAAGAUUUGAUCGUUUGGAGUAGGCUCAGCAGGCACCAACAGAAAUUUAAUUUUGUAAUGUGACAUUGGACAGUUGGAUUGUUUAAGGGGAUGACAGGUGACAGCUUUGUAGUUGUAGAUGAUAAUUAGUAAGGUAUGAUAUAGAAAUUUUCAAAAGAAGCAAUAAUAAGUUAACAAUAACAAGAAUUUGACUUGGUGCCAUGGAGCCUCAGUCAUCUGCGGCUUUUUGUGGAAGCCGUGUAUUGGAUUAUGGUGGAUGCUGACCACAAAGGACCACAUUGAGAAGGUUUUUGUUGUGUUGUUGUGUUGUUGUGUUGUUGUGUUUACACUUUGGUUUCUGUCACAUUUCAGGUUCUGUUGUAGCUGCUUCAUGUUUUUUUUUUUUGUCAAACGAUAGAUUUGUUAGAUUAGGUAUUAGAUAAGGAAGUCGACACGAUUCAAACCUGUGUUGUAGUGUAAUAGCAACACUUCUAUUCAUCAUUGUAAUAAAGAGCCAAUUGCGUAGCUGUU